rnacentral:rRNA from 1 species
GGCAUUGCCCCAGUAACGGCGAGUGAAGCGGCAACAGCUCAAAUUUGAAAUCUGGCCCCCCCCCCCGGGGGGGCCCGAGUUGUAAUUUGCAGAGGAUGCUUUGGGCGAGGCGCCUUCCGAGUUCCCUGGAACGGGACGCCACAGAGGGUGAGAGCCCCGUCUGGUCGGACGCCGAGCCUCUGUAAAGCUCCUUCGACGAGUCGAGUAGUUUGGGAAUGCUGCUCAAAAUGGGAGGUAUAUGUCUUCUAAAGCUAAAUACCGGCCAGAGACCGAUAGCGCACAAGUAGAGUGAUCGAAAGAUGAAAAGCACCUUGAAAAGGGGGUUAAACAGUACGUGAAAUUGUUGAAAGGGAAGCGCUCGUGACCAGACUUGGGGCGGGCGGAUCAGCCGGCGUUCUCGCCGGCGCACUCCGCCCGUCCCAGGCCAGCAUCAGUUCGCGCCGGGGGACAAAGGCGGCGGGAACGUGGCUCCCCAGGGAGUGUUAUAGCCCGCCGCGCCAUGCCCCGGGGGCGGACUGAGGGCCGCGCAUCACUGCAAGGAUGCUGGCGUAAUGGUCACCAGCGACCCGUCUUGAAACACGGGCCAAGGAGUCGUCCUCGUAUGCGAGUGUUCGGGUGUCAAACCCCUACGCGGAAUGAAAGUGAACGUGGGUGAGAGCUUCGGCGCAUCAUCGACCGAUCCUGAUGUUCUCGGAUGGAUUUGAGUAGGAGCAUACGGGGCCGGACCCGAAAGAAGGUGAACUAUGCCUGUGUAGGGUGAAGCCAGAGGAAACUCUGGUGGAGGCUCGCAGCGGUUCUGACGUGCAAAUCGAUCGUCAAACAUGGGCAUGGGGGCGAAAGACUAAUCGAA